rnacentral:rRNA from 1 species
ACUGCUCAGUAACACGUGGAUAACCUGCCCUGCGGUGGGAAAUAACCCCGGGAAACUGGGGAUAAUGUCCCAUAGGCUACAGAUGCUGGAAUGCUCUGUAACUCAAAGAUUUAUCGCCACAGGAUGGGUCUGCGGCCGAUUAGGUAGUUGUUGGGGUAACAGCCCAACAAGCCUUUGAUCGGUACGGGUUGUGGGAGCAAGGGCCCGGAGAUGGAUUCUGAGACACGAAUCCAGGCCCUACGGGGCGCAGCAGGCGCGAAAACUUUACAAUGCGGGAAACCGUGAUAAGGGAACUCCGAGUGUCCGUAAAUGCGGACUGUCCGUAUGUCUAAAAAGCAUGCGAAGAAAGGGCCGGGCAAGACCGGUGCCAGCCGCCGCGGUAAUACCGGCGGCUCGAGUGGUGGCCACUAUUAUUGGGCUUAAAGCGUUCGUAGCUGGAUCGUUAAGUCUCUUGGGAAAUCUACCGGCUUAACCGAUAGGCGUCCAAGGGAUACUGGCGAUCUAGGGACCGGGAGAGGUGAGGGGUACUUCAGGGGUAGGAGUGAAAUCCUGUAAUCCUUGGGGGACCACCUGUGGCGAAGGCGCCUCACCAGAACGGCUCCGACAGUGAGGGACGAAAGCUGGGGGAGCAAACCGGAUUAGAUACCCGGGUAGUCCCAGCCGUAAACGAUGCGCGUUAGGUGUAUCGAUGACCACGAGUCAUCGAGGUGCCGAAGGGAAACCGUGAAACGCGCCGCCUGGGAAGUACGGUCGCAAGGCUGAAACUUAAAGGAAUUGGCGGGGGAGCA